UAACCUGCCCAAGAGAUCGGGAUAACACCUGGAAACAGAUGCUAAUACCGGAUAACAACAGAUGAUGCCUAUCAACUGUUUAAAAGAUGGUUCUGCUAUCACUCUUGGAUGGACCUGCGGUGCAUUAGCUAGUUGGUAGGGUAACGGCCUACCAAGGCGAUGAUGCAUAGCCGAGUUGAGAGACUGAUCGGCCACAUUGGGACUGAGACACGGCCCAAACUCCUACGGGAGGCAGCAGGUC
rnacentral:rRNA from 1 species